rfam:Candidatus Chisholmbacteria bacterium RIFCSPHIGHO2_01_FTLL_52_32 rifcsphigho2_01_scaffold_32, whole genome shotgun sequence.
CGGAGCGUAGUUCACCGGUAGAACGCUCGGUUCGGGACCGAGAGGUACUGGGUUCAAUUCCCAGCGCUCCGA